rnacentral:lncRNA from 1 species
UUACAAGUAGCCCAGACAACCCACACUGUCCACUCACGGAUGUGGUGGGAAAUGAAACAGGAAAGGCACUGGGAAGCAGACUGCAAGAGGCUGGAGGGAGUCAGUGCUACACGUGACUUGACUGAGCUAAAAAUGCCGACAUAGCAGGCAGGCCAAGCAGUCGUCCUGAAGAUGGGGUAAUAUGGCCGGAGACUAAGCCCAGGAACAACACCGACAUACUUACUAACCUGAAGUACCGGACGAGGCUGAGUCCUUCGGCUAUGACGGGCCACUCUGCUUCCUCCAGGCCUAGAGCACAUGCGGAGGCAGGCUACACUCUGGUUGGCUGCUUCUCUGUUGGCCUUGCAGCUAAUCUCAAAAGCCUUACCCUCAACAUCUGCCCUGUCCUCCAGCAUCCAGACACCCAUCUUUCAUCACAGACCUCCACUGCAGAGGACAGCUGGCUUGCCCAGUGGGGAACUUGUACAAGGAACGCCGUGGCUUGAAUUAGACCUUCCUUUCCAGAGUAAAACCGUACUUUCCAACAUUAGUGUCCGCGCCUCACUAGGAGGUGCCGGGUCUAUCAGGCCCCAGUGAAGCUUGUUCCUGUUACUCUGUGAGCACUGUGACUGUCUUUCCAUGAACAUUGUGUAAAAUGGCACUUCGGCUAUCUCCAUAUCCCUACCAUAUGCAACACUCUGAAUGUCACCCAAAAAUUCAGGUCCCAUCCUGAUAAGAGAUGGGGCCUUUAAAAUGGAAUAAGGAGCCUGAUGACCCAUAUUCAAUCCCUGGGACCCCCAAGGCGGAAGGAGGGAACCAAGACUGUAAGUUGUGCUCUGAUCCCACAGGCACAAGACAAAAAUCCCAUGCACAAUCAAUCAACUCAUCAGUGUAAUAAAAAAAAUUAAUGAAGCCAGGCAUAGUGACCAUGUCUUUAAUCCCAACAUUAAGGAGAACAAGGCAGGCUGAUCUCUGGAGUUCAAGGCCAGUCUGGCCUACCUAUAUCUAGUUCCAGGUGUAUCAGGGCUACCUUGCCAAAACCAAAACCAAAC